rnacentral:rRNA from 1 species
AUUGAACGCUGGCGGCAGGCCUAACACAUGCAAGUCGAGCGGAUGAGGAAAGCUUGCUUUUCGAUUCAGCGGCGGACGGGUGAGUAAUGCCUAGGAAUCUGCCUGUUAGUGGGAGAUAACUCGGGGAAACUCGGGCUAAUACCGCAUACGUCCUACGGGAGAAAGUGGGGGAUCUUCGGACCUCACGCUAACAGAUGAGCCUAGGUCGGAUUAGCUAGUAGGUGAGGUAAUGGCUCACCUAGGCGACGAUCCGUAACUGGUCUGAGAGGAUGAUCAGUCACACUGGAACGGAGACACGGUCCAGACUCCUACGGGAGGCAGCAGUGGGGAAUAUUGGACAAUGGGCGAAAGCCUGAUCCAGCCACGCCGCGUGUGUGAAGAAGGUCUUCGGAUUGUAAAGCACUUUAAGUUGGGAGGAAGGGUAUUCACCUAAUACGUGGGUACUUUGACGUUACCAACAGAAUAAGCACCGGCUAACUCUGUGCCAGCAGCCGCCGUAAUAC